rnacentral:rRNA from 1 species
GACGAACGCUGGCGGCGUGCUUAACACAUGCAAGUCGAACGAAGUGGCGAACGGGUGAGUAACGCGUAAUCAACCUGCCCUUCAGAGGGGGACAACAGUUGGAAACGACUGCUAAUACCGCAUACUGAAGUAGGGGCUUGCGUCGGAUUAGCUAGUUGGAGGGGUAACGGCCCACCAAGGCGAUGAUCAGUAGCCGGACGUGGAGGUGGAACGGCCCCAGAGGGACUGGGACACCGGCCAGACUGCGAACGGGAGCAGGAGUGGGGGAAUAUCCGCAAUGGAAGGAAGGCAUAUGGGGCAACGGCGGGGGAGUGAUGAAAGCCUUGGGGUUGGAAAGAUCUGUUAAUCGGGACGCGGUACCGGAAGAGAAAGCCACGGCUAACUACGUGCCAGCAGCCGCGGUAAUUC